CGUCAAGAUGCUAAGGGCACAC
rnacentral:rRNA from 1 species